GCCUUCUUGUUAGCCGGCUCUUCCCUGUUCUCGUCGUUUUCGUUGUCGGAAUGGCGAGAGCUUAGAUGACCGAUGUAACCUUUACGGGAUUUGAAGUAAGCGUUACAGCUGUGGCACUUGAACAGUGGCGCCGGCUGGGUGACCUGGGUGGAGACGUGGAGUUUGUACUUGUGCCUGUACCAACGGGUUCGAGACGGUAGCACUUCGCCGCACCACUUGCAGACUACGGAACCGUCGUUUUGAAUGAGGUGUCAACCGAGAUAAACGGAGUGGAAACAAAAUCCGCUUCACCGUGGCCAAUUACACGGAGGAAUUGCGGUUCAACGAACUCCGAAAGAAGAGCAAACGCUAAUGAAAACCGGAGGGUAAAACUGGAUAAGAGACGGUGAAGGAACGCUCUUCACGGUUUUUUUCUUGGGCUGCUUUCCAUUCGGACGACACAGUUUUCAUGCGAAAGUGAUCCUCUUACUUUUCCUACUAUACGAAGUACUCUCGACUCGAGUCGAAUUAUAGAAAUCGAUCGAUCAUUUAUAUCGAUAUAUUUACUGUUCACUGGUGGAAAAAAAUCUGGCGAAAGGAAUGCGAAUUAAUGAUUGAUUAAUAUGGGAGGAAACAUCUAUUUUUCACGCGUAUUUUUCUUUCUACUAUGGUGUUUGUCGCGUAUAUUAAUUCAAAAUAACGAUUUCAAUGCAUUAACGUAGACAUAGAAUCAAAAGAAUUUUAAUGUAUCGAUAUAAUAUAAAAAUUUUUUUAU